CUAUAAUUUUGACGUAAUUUUUAAAUUUAAAACCUUUUCGGCACAAAUUUUCAAAAUUGUGAAAUAUGUAUUUAUUCAGUAAAAUUCACGAUUAUGUGUACUUGCUCUCCAAAUAAUAAUAAUAAUAAUAAUAAUAGAGAAGAAUAUUAUACUGCACUUUCCGAGUUUGAGACUCCAGAAGAUCGAUAUACGUCGACACAGUAUGAAGAAGAGUUUAUCCCAGCAUAUUACUCAACUCCAAUCUCGCCUCAAAUCCCGGCUCCAAUCUCGACUCCAAGAAGAAUACAAAGUUAUCAACGUAUGCCUCGAACUCGUGUAAGAGGUGUCUCACGUAGAGAUCUCACAAGUGGAGUAGCUAUUGUACCACGACGAAUUGAUUUUGAUGCAUCAGAUGUCGAAGAAAUUAAAAAUGAAGAAAUAGUGAGAGAAAGAUUACAACAAUUACAAAGUCCGGCACGUCUGCCUCUCACUUCCGAAACUGGUGCUCCUGGAACGUAUAGAUUGAGACGCACAAGGGCGACACAAUAUCCAUUACAGAGAAGGCAAUAUGUGCCUAGAAUGGUUCAGAUUACACCUUGCGGGAAAUGUCUGAGAAUAUAAAAACGUAUCGAAGUAACCAUGAAAAGCAACCAACCAAUUUACACAACACAGAUCCCGGAACACCGAAGAUAUCGUAGAAGUACUGGGCAAACACUCCGGCUGACUGUUUCUCAAUCAGAGUCGGGUACACGGAAGGCACACGGUUAUAGCAGCACUCGGUGGACGCCUGUUUUCACGGUCAUUCCAUUUCCAAAGAUGCCUGACCAAUUCUUGGAAGAACGCGUUGUCUCGGUAUUUCGCGCGGAAUCGCCUUUGAGCAUCGUUGGCUGAUAUCGCACGGAGAACGGGCGACGAGACGACGGCGCGUGCACGGAUGAAACGGGCACGCGAAGACGCGGAGGACGCGAGUGGUGGCGAAUUUACGUAAUGAAGCGAUCGCCCGGGUGGUCCCGAGCGUGAGACGCGCGUACGCACGUUCCUUCGUCGUUCCCGAUGCGAGACGCUUGCCAAGAUGGAGAGAACAAAGAGAGACGGGAGAGUAAGAAUCUCUCUUUUUCUCCUCGAGAACGACUUGUAGCUCCGGCGUCGUUCAGCACUCGAAUUAACGGCACCGGAAAUACGAUGCAACGUGCACGCGCUCGGACGCAUUAUGCGCGUGGAAGAGAAACGCGAACACGUUUACCACCCACAAUUAUUUGCCAAAACAUGCCUCUCCUGUGAUUUCCACGCACCGAGGGACCAUCGGGAUCCCGAGACGCCACACGUCAGAAUAUUUGAGAUGGGUUCGCCCCGAGCGCUAAGGAAACCAAUCGCUAAUCUUUCAGAGAAACGUCGUCGAAGUUUACGUUCGCGCAAUCAUCAAAAGAUUAUCCCCUCCCUUCUGGCAAAAUAUAGAUUUCUUGUUAAACUUGCAGAAAAAAUUUUUGACUUUUUAAUUAUAUUCACCUCGUUAAA